rfam:Sphaerobolus stellatus SS14 unplaced genomic scaffold SPHSTscaffold_1, whole genome shotgun sequence.
GGCCGCCUGGUGAAAUGGCAUCGCAUCUGACUAAGACUUGUCUGAAAUCAGGAGAUUGCAGGUUCGACCUCUGCGGUGGUCA